UUGGUUAGUGAGUUGUGGUUAUUGGCCUUCCAUUUCCUAACUCCUAACAGACAAGGCUGGAUAGUGAUAGGACAAGGGGGAAUGGUUUUAAACUGAGACAGGGGAGGUUUAAGUUGGAUAUGAGGAGGAAGUUUUUCCCCCAGAGGGUGGUGACGCACUGAACAGGUUACCCAAGGAGGCUGUGGAUGCCCCAUCCCUGCAGGCAUUCAAGGCCAGGCUGGAUGUGGCUCUGGGCAGCCUGGUCUGCUGGUUGGCGACCCUGCACAUAGCAGGGGGUUGGAACAAGAUGAGCAUUGUGGUCCUUUUCAACCCAGACCAUUCUAUG
ensembl:lncRNA